AAGCAUAUCAAUAAGCGGAGGAAAAGAAACCAACAGGGAUUGCCUUAGUAACGGCGAGUGAAGCGGCAACAGCUCAAAUUUGAAAGCUGGCCCUUUUAGGGUCCGCGUUGUAAUUUGUAGAGGAUGAUUCGGCGAGGGCUCCCGCCUAAGUCCCCUGGAACGGGGCGUCAUAGAGGGUGAGAAUCCCGUAUGCGGUGGGUUGCCUUAGCCAUGUGAAUCUCCUUCGACGAGUCGAGUUGUUUGGGAAUGCAGCUCUAAAUUGGAGGUAAAUUUCUUCUAAAGCUAAAUACUGGCCAGAGACCGAUAGCGCACAAGUAGAGUGAUCGAAAGAUGAAAAGCACUUUGGAAAGAGAGUUAAAAAGCACGUGAAAUUGUUGAAAGGGAAGCGCUUGCAACCAGACUUGUCCGCAGUUGCUCAACCGGUCUCCUGACCGGUGUACUCUUCUGCGGCCAGGCCAGCAUCAGUUCGGGCGGUCGGAUAAAGACCUUGGGAAUGUAGCUCCUCUCGGGGAGUGUUAUAGCCCAAGGUGGAAUGCGGCCAGCCUGGACUGAGGAACUCGCUUCGGCAAGGAUGCUGGCGUAAUGG
rnacentral:rRNA from 1 species